GUAAGGUUUUUAUUUUAAUUUUUCCCCCUUGAAGAUUUCAGUUUGUUUUUCAAUUGAAUUGUUCACAUUAUAGGUCACAUUAAAAGUGGAAAAAGUUCUCACAUGAUUUAUCUUUGUCUCAUUCUUUUACAUCACAGAAACCUGGCAUUUUAACAGGGGUGUGUAUACUUUUUAUAUCCACUGUACUUCUAUUAGAUUUGGUCCUAGAGGUGCCAAAAAUUGUUACACAUUUUUUAUAAUUAUAUUUAUUUCUUAAGAUUCUGAAACAUUUUGUAACAACAAUGACAUUUCUUUCAUCUCCAACUAUUAACCAAACAGCUGCAUUAUAAUAUACUCAAAACUAGUUCCCUGCAUUUAGAUGCAUAUAUUGAAGUUGUUUAUUUGCAAAUGUAUUCAUCAACUGUAAAUCCAUUUAUAGAAUAUACUCAUUCCUCAUAUCCCGUUACCCUAUAUGCUCACCACCCAUUGCUGUGUAUGUACUAUAUAUCAUCUGUGUAUAGAUUUUGUGUAUUCACUCCUAUGUUCUCUAUCGCCAUUGCAAUAAGUACAUGUACACAUUCUUGGUAUGGGUCACUGUACUUAGUGAAUGACAGUGAUUCUGAUUUCGAUAUAGGCCAACAUUAUUUGCUUCUCAGUAUGUUUUUUUGGGGGGUGGAGGUUCAUUUAUUAUUAUUUAUGGCAUAAUAGCAACAAAGAUAAUUCAAUUUAACAUUUAUUUUGAUCGUUAUUGUAGCUUUAGAAAACAAUGAUAUAAAAUACUUCUUAAUCAAGGAUUUCUUUCUUUUUCAUAAAAAUAUACAAAUAUUGACACCUAUAAGACAGCAUUGGUUAUCCUAAAUGGUACAUCGAUCUGGCGGGUUUGAACAAUAUCAGUUGAUCAACACUUGGAAGAAAAAAAGUCCUGUCUGUGGGUGACAGUAACACUGUACAAGCAUAAAAAAUUACAAAGGUCCCUUGGCCAAAUGUACCUGAUAAUUACAUCAACCUCCCAGAAAACCUGGCAUACAAGUAUAAAUAAAUGGAAUGAGAUGUGUCGAAAUUCCAACAAAACAGGCAUUUUAAGCCUACUCCUUAAAUCCUGUGUGUGUGUUUAAAAUUAUGAUGUUUUUCUCUAUAUAUUCUGAGUAGAAAAGUGGAAAAAUAUUCUAUCUAAUGCUUCUUCAUUUUUCUUGGAUUGUUCAUCUGAGUGUUUCUGAGAAGGCACUUGAUUGGAGGGAGAAGCUGUAUUUGUCAUAGGGAUGUUUGGCAGCAGUUGGAUGGUCUCCAGGUCAUAUGGAAUCUUUUAGAGGUAAACAGAAAUAAAAUAUAUUUAACAAGAUACAGGACAUACAGUUUAAAUUACAAUACAAUAACUUAGCAGCACUUGCUAAAUUUUUACCUGUUGCAUUUAUAAAUGCAUGUAAGAUUACCCCUUUUGUAUCAUCAUGUAUCAUGUUCAGUGAUUGCACAGUUGAUGUCAGUUAUUUUCUCACUAAACUGAUCAUCGUUCUUUGUCCCAGGAACAUAACAGUUUGGUUUGUAUCCUGACCCACGUUCAAUGUCAUGGCCAAUUUUACAGAGCCUACUGUCAUAUCAUUGUUAUAAUAACAAAACAACCCAUUCCAGAUUAAAUCAAUACACCACUUUUCUUUGAACAUCUAUGCAUGCUGAAUGUUAUGUCUUAUUCAUGUUCUGUCUGGUCCCAUCCUGUUAGCACUCUCUCACCCCAGUUCGCAUUGCCCAAUGUUUCCUCUGCCCACUUCGCUUCUCUCCAUUUAAAAUGAAUGACGUCAGAAGUUUCCUCACUCCCAUCAGCUUUUCUAAUGCCCAAGAUAUAACACAAUGCGAAGUCUCACACCACAUUCCUCUUAAUACCUGUGGUGUGGUUUGUGGCAAUGUAAUUUUAAUAAGACAAUCUUUA
ensembl:lncRNA